UACGGAGGGAGCAAGCGUUACUCGGAAUUACUGGGCGUAAAGGGCGCGUAGGCGGCCCGCUAAGUCGAACGUGAAAUCCCCGAGCUCAACUCGGGAACUGCGUCCGAUACUGGUGGGCUUGAAUCCGGGAGAGGGAUGCGGAAUUCCAGGUGUAGCGGUGAAAUGCGUAGAUAUCUGGAGGAACACCGGUGGCGAAGGCGGCAUCCUGGACCGGCAUUGACGCUGAGGCGCGAAAGCUAGGGGAGCAACGGG
rnacentral:rRNA from 1 species